UACAGAGGUCUCAAGCGUUGUUCGGAUUCAUUGGGCGUAAAGGGUGCGUAGGCGGCGCGGUAAGUCGGGUGUGAAAUCUCGGAGCUUAACUCCGAAACUGCAUUCGAUACUGCCGUGCUUGAGGACUGGAGAGGAGACUGGAAUUUACGGUGUAGCGGUGAAAUGCGUAGAUAUCGGGAGGAACACCAAUGGCGAAGGCAGCUGCUGGGACGGUACUGACGCUGAGACGCGAAAGCGUGGGGAGCAAACAGGG
rnacentral:rRNA from 1 species